GCAAAGAGCAUCUAAACUCGUAUAUUUCAACUUUCAAGAGGAUCAUUCGUAGACAUCUCUUUAACAACACUAUUAACAGAUUUAUCUAGAAGAAUUUUGACAAGUAGAGGUCAUGCUCAUAAAAAUUCACAAAUGAGACAUUGUAACACUUACCGAGGGGAGAUGAGGAGAAGUCUGGUGGGGCGAGGAAACAGGAAGAGUCAUUGGAGAAGGUGAGGAUAGAGAAGAGGCUCUUCUCUUAAGGUAAAAAAGAUAGAACAAGAGGAAGAGAAUGAUGGAGAAUAAGAUGGGAAUGGAGAAGAUGAAGGCUUGAUAAAGUUUGAGUUGAAUUGCUUGUGGGUAUAGGUGAGGUGAGAUUGGAGAUUGAGGAUCAAUCAUAACUUUUAGUUUCUAGAAAUUAAACUCAACAGAAGAAAAAAAA